UUGAACUUUCUCAGGAAGUUCAGAUGGUAUAUUGUGAGACAGAAGCAAAAACAAUACAAAAUCAUCUCAUAAAAAAAUUAGCAAUAAGGCAUCACGACAGGACAGCAAAAGUAUUUUGUUAAAAAAAAUCAUUCCAACAUGAAUAAUUUGACAUUGCUAAUUUGUUAAGAAAAAGAUAUCUUGAACAGAUACCACCCUGGGAUCCUUAAGCAACGCUCUGAAACUUCAUUUGCUACAAACACAUCUACUACAUUGCUGUUGGAAAUACAUCUUUCAGCCCAAAUUUCAACUUAACUAAAAGUCCUAUUGGCUACUAAGCAGUGGUCAUCAAUUUGGUUUACUUUAUAAUCUGGACCAAACACAAACAUUAAAUGAGGUCAAACAAAAUGCCCACUUGCAGUCCUCAAAUUUAUUUUUUUUAAUAUUUUCUAUUACUUAUUUCUCUUUUUAUUUAUUUAGAGAGAGUUGGGCAGGAGGAGAGGUAGAGGAAGAGGAAGAGAAUCUCAAGCAGACUCGGAGCACUAUGUGAGGCUUCAUCUCACAACUUCAAGACCAUGACUGGGGCUGAAACCAAGAGUAGGAUGCUUAACUUACUAAGUCACCCAGACCCUCCUCUACUCCUCAACUUUCUAAAGCUUAUUUUAAAAAACAUGGAAAAUUUAGUUGAAUAGGAAUGGCAAAAAUAAAGAGUUUCAUUUUUAAUGAAAAAGGAAGCCUACCAAUAUCAAUCUCCAUUGUGACACAAAUUCUACCCAUCACCAAAUGGAACUGGAAUGUAACAGAACAAACUGCCCAAGGAAUCACAAGUUGGCAGAGGAGGGACAAGAUUUAGAGGGAUGUUAAUAGACCCAGAAUUACAAUUGUGAAUUAGAAAAAGGUGUUCUGGGUGUGCUAAUUCUAGGUAAGUAGAGGAAGUUACAAACAAUGGCCAAAGUAAUUGGAAAAUGAGCCUAAUGGUGAGUAAGAAAUGAACGACAGAAUAUUGGCAAUUGAGGAAUUUAAGGCUCAAACUCCCUAUUUUAAAGAUGCAGAUACUGGCAAAGACAGGCAAUGACUUGCCCAAGUGAUCAGAACCGACAUGCUUUUCAGUCUGGUGCCCUCUCUAUUCAACUCCUUCUCAAAGCUAUGGGAGUAUGUUAGAGUUUCUCAGAGUUUAUUCCUGGACCCCUUUUCUUUUUUUUUCCUCUUCCUUCCAUAAUUUCAUUCUCUUCCCUUAGCUUUUAUUCUCAGACUAAUAUCCAAAUGUAUUUCUCCAGUGCCAACUUCUCUGAACUUUAGAUUUAGAGUUAACAGUUCUAUUUGUAUGUUUUACAGGUAUCUCAAACUUAACACUUGCAGAUGCAAACUUUCCAUUCCCAUCCUUCCCACUACAAAUCUACUCCUGAAUUGUUUUCCAUAUACUAGAUGAAACUACCAUUUUACCAGUUCCUUCACCCAGAAUCCAAGAUGUCAGUCAGCCUUGAACUGGUACUACAUUCAACCCCAUCAAUGAGACCCCUAGGUAUAUCUCAAAAAUGUCUCCAGCCAUUUUCACUGCCAAGGCACACACCAAGGCACCAACACUGACAGAUUACCUCCUAAAUAUUCUCUUUAUUCUGAUUUUCCCAUGUCUAGUUCAUUUGCCACACAGCAGCCAACUGAUCUAUUAAAAACAUUCUAUUUUAAUAAAAUUCAAACCCCUCAUUAUUGCUUACAAGGGCAGAUAUUAUUUGGCCCCUUAGUUCCUUCCCUAACCUCAUUGCAUGCCAGCCUCUUCCUUGACCACUCUGCUCUAGCCAUACUGACCUCUUAAAUUUCUCAAACAUACCAUGGUCUUUCUACUUCAGGGCCUGUGCACAUUUUGCUUCCUGUGUCAAAGAACACUCUUCUCUCCAUGCUAAAAUUCUGGUCCUUUUUAUAUCUCAAGGCUUAUAGUAAAUGUCACUUAUAAAUAGAGGCCUCUGUCCACUCAUCUAAACUAGGCCUUAGCUUCUUUUUGCUCCUUUCUAUAGCAGCACUUUAUUUCCAUUAUAGCACUUAUUAUGACUUUUAAUCACUUACUUAUUCGGUUAUUGAUUGUUAUCCAUCACGUGUCUUUCAGCUAAAUACAACAAGAAUCCAAUUUGUCUUUUCUACUGCUUUACCUUAUAUCACUCACAUGUAGCACAAAGUAGGUAUCCAAUAAAUGUUCUGUGAAUUAAUGAGAAUGAGCAACACUUAUAACACUGUUUUUUCUAACCAAAAAGGACACAAAAGACUAUGGACUUCUAUUUCAUGUCAACAUAUUCACUUAGAUAGAAGGAAUGUCAUAAUAGAGGAAAGUUAAAAUACUGAAGCUUGUCAACUAUUAUUCUCUAGAGAUCUUUCUUAAACAAUGUCCCAUCCAUUAAGGAUGAAUUAAAUUCAGCCCUACUUGAAGACAGAAUGAAAUGACUUCACCCAGCCCCUUAUGAACUUAUGAUUUUAUGAAAAAUCCAUAAGCUCUCAUCCUUUCAGCACACUGAUAACUAGGUAAUUACCCUUUUGAUGAAAAAGGAACCCUUUUUAUAUCUAUCCUCAUUGAAUUACGGACCUCAAAAUUGAAUUGGAGUCUAAUAGACAUCAAGCACCACUACCUACCAGUUCCCAGCAAAAUGAGAGAUAAUUUGUAGUCGUACCCAGGGACUCAGGGACAGUGCUGUCAGAAUGUCCUUCCUGCCUUCUCCGGUGACUCCUCACUGUGAGCCCUAAAUCCACAGUAUCAAUUAAGUGCCCUCCUCAGUUUGUGAGCCAGUCCCUAACAAAACAGAAAAGGUAUUAGCUCUCCCACCUUGUUUGUUCAUGGAUUUUGAAAUUAAGCCAUUCAGUUAAAGAUUUUGUAUAGAUUCACUUUAAGAUGCAACUUUCAUCAUUCCUACUAUGUUAACGAAGGUCAGAGGGCUUUGUCUCAACAGCACAUCAGUUCCCACACUGCAGUGGACCUGUCCCAGAAUCCCAAUCUGUUUUCCAGUGUCUUGACAGGUGUAAAGACCCUGACCACACUCUCCCCUGAUUACUGAAUGAGCACUUACGUCAACCGACUGAUUACUGGAAUCAAAUCGUUAACUCCCCACCUGACUGUGCCUAGAACCUGCAAUAUGUAUGUCUCCCCCAUGAUCCUGCAGUUUAUUAGCACUGCUCAGUUAUCAGUAAUGGAUCAGAUUAAGUUCUCAUUAGCUAGCUAUUCCAUAGCCAAGGCUAUUACUCUUACUCCUGAAUUUUCUUGCCUAACUCCCUGUUUCUAGGUGCUCAGACCACAGACAUUUAUAGUUGCGCCGAUCCCAGCUAUCAAGCCCACACUUCUAACUAGUCUCUCCAUGUUAAUCCCUUGUGAUUUUUUUAUCCAACUGUCAGUUUGGAGGCAUAAUAUUAUAAACCUUUACUUCCUAGAUAUUAGCAUUGGAAAACAUCAUUAUUUUUUGUUUAGAUACAACAGAGUCACAAAUGUAGCUUCAAAAAGCUGAACAACUUCUUUCCCCUUGAGGAUUUUUGCACAACUUUCCAUAUUCAGUAUCCAAGGACAUUUCUUUUCUCUCUUUGCUAACAUGGAUUACAGCAAGGUUACAUUAGCUAAUAAAAGCUCUCUGCUGACAAAAGAUGCUUUAGAAAAGUAACUCGAAAAGGGGCACUAUGGAUAGCUUUAUUAAAAUAAAAUGCCACAUCUUCGUGAAGUUAAAAGUCUCUGGAUUGUGGUUAAAAGUCUGGUCAGCUCUAAAUACAAUGGAGACUCUUUUAAGAACCAUGUUUUUCUCAAGCUGGCCUUACCAUACAUAACAGCCAGAAUAUAAAUCCAGACUACUCCAGCCCAUCUAUCAUUUCCUUUCCAUGCCAUGAAGGGGCCCGCAUGUGAAGGAGAGAUCUAUAAAAUUAAAUGAGAAACAGGUUCUGUUCUGAACACCAAUUAAUAGAAGUUAUGGAAAUCAUGAUAUCAAAACAACUUCAUACAAGUUAAAACAACAGUUAAGUACCAUUUUUGCUCAUCACCUGACAAGAAUACUUAAAUGUGAAUGUGGCCAACAAAUAGGAUAUGGUAUUCUAUACUGUUACUGUGAAAGUAUAUUUGUACAGCCUUUCCAAUAGACAUUUUGAUAGUAUGUAUUAAAAUGUAAAAUGCAGAUAAUCUUAAACUCAGUGAUUCUUCUUCAAGGUAUCCUAGAGAGAUAAUUACACAUGUGUGAAAAGGGACUUUUAUAAGUCUGCUCACUACAGCCCUGUUCAUAUUAGUAAAAAUAUCGCGACUCACCAAAAUGCCCAUCAUCAGGGGAAUGGUCACAUG
rnacentral:lncRNA from 1 species